rnacentral:lncRNA from 1 species
UGUUUCUUUUGUUUUCUCACAUUGUUUCUUUCUGUUUUCUCCCUUUUCUCCCCCUAAUCUCAAGUUUUUUCUCCUUUUCCCUUUGAUUGUCUCCCCUUUUCUUCUCCAAGAGUUUUAUUUUUUGUUGUUUUUCCCGUGUUGUUUUCUGUCUAUCUUUUGCAAUGUACGUUCAAUUUCAGGGGUUGAGGGAGUUACCCCUUAAAAAGAGAAAAAUUGGCA